UACAGAGGUCUCAAGCGUUGUUCGGAUUCAUUGGGCGUAAAGGGUGCGUAGGUGGCAUGGUAAGUCGGAUGUGAAAGCCCGGGGCUCAACCCCGGGUCGGCCGUGCGAACUGGUGGACUGGAGCUUGUCAGAGGCAGGCGGAAUUCCGGGUGUAGCGGUGAAAUGCGUAGAUAUCAGGAGGAACAACAGAGGCGGAAGGCGGCUCUCUGG
rnacentral:rRNA from 1 species